rnacentral:pre_miRNA from 1 species
AGUGGCAUAGCUGGGUCAAAUGGUGGUUCCAUUUCAAGUUUUCUAAGGAAUCUCCAUACUGCUUUCCAGAGUGGUUGCACCAAUCUGCAGUCCCACCAACAAU